GGUGAAAUUCCUGGCGGGGGGAGCAGGAGGUGGCGGCGCUGAGGGCUCGGAGCAGGAGGCGGAGGGCGGCUCGGAGCCACGGCCGCGCUGCCCUGCCCGGGACCCUGCGUGCUGUGGCGGCCGGCGCCGAGCCAGACCCCCGGCGGGCGUGGAGCGGACGGGCUGAGGGACGCUCGCCGCCACCUCUCGCAGCGCCAGGAGCCGCGCCGUCCCCGCCGCCGCUGGGACUCCCUCCCCGGGCAGAGCGGGGGAGAAUGACGGAGCUCCAGUCCGCCUUGCUACUGCGGAGACAACUAGCAGAGCUCAACAAAAAUCCAGUGGAAGGCUUUUCAGCGGGCUUAAUAGAUGACAAUGAUCUUUAUCGAUGGGAAGUCCUUAUUAUUGGUCCUCCAGAUACACUAUAUGAAGGUGGUGUUUUCAAGGCUCAUCUUACUUUUCCAAAAGACUACCCACUGAGGCCGCCAAAAAUGAAAUUCAUCACAGAAAUCUGGCAUCCGAAUGUUGACAAGAACGGCGAUGUCUGCAUUUCAAUUCUUCACGAGCCUGGAGAAGACAAAUAUGGCUAUGAAAAACCUGAGGAACGCUGGCUUCCCAUUCACACAGUGGAAACGAUCAUGAUUAGUGUUAUUUCUAUGCUGGCAGAUCCCAAUGGUGAUUCUCCUGCUAAUGUUGAUGCAGCGAAAGAAUGGAGAGAAGACAGAAAUGGAGAAUUUAAAAGAAAAGUUGCCCGCUGUGUAAGAAAAAGCCAAGAAACUGCUUUUGAGUGACACUUAUUCAGCAGCUAGUAGCUUCACUUUUUUCAGGGUGAUGAGUUUGGAUUUAUCCAUCUUCUGUUCAGAGGUCUCCAAUUGAGAAACAUGGCACUGUUUUUUUUCCUGCACUCUACCCACCUAUUGCUGGACUUCUGUUGUUACAAGUUGGCAAACACUGGCUGGAACUGGGCUGCAAUAAAACAUGCCAGUUAUCAAUGCUGACAAGAGCCUAACAAGUGCCAACACAAGAUGAUUACGCAUUUUGAAAUCUAAUGAACUGCUUUAACCUUCAGGAAGAAUUGUAAAGAUGUGUACAUAGCACAACAUGAUCCGGAUAAUAUAUAUACUGUUCAUGUACAUCCACAAAUACACAUUGUACCAAAUAAUGCUGUCUGUAGUUAGGGAUAGAAUUGUGUAAAUUCUAAAGAUUUUAGCAGGUUUUUUCUCUCCCUAUUCAUUGUUUCCUGAGUUAAAAAAAAAACAACAACUUGUGAAGCAUGUCAAAACCAAUUAGGAUACUAAGUUGGUUUUUUUGGUUUUGUUUUUUUUUCCUCCCACUUUAAUUUUCCUUUGACCCACCAAGGCUUAAUUAAAAUUUCUUGCUUAUUCAA